rnacentral:rRNA from 1 species
UACGGAGGGUGCGAGCGUUGUUCGGAAUCACUGGGCGUAAAGCGCGUGUAGGCGGUCUGCUAAGUCUGAUGUGAAAGCCCGGGGCUCACCCCCGGAAGUGCAUUGGAAACUGGCAGACUCGAGUCCCGGAGAGGAGAGUAGAAUUCCUGGUGUAGCGGUGAAAUGCGUAGAUAUCAGGAGGAAUACCGGUGGCGAAGGCGGCUCUCUGGACGGUGACUGACGCUGAGACGCGAAAGCGUGGGGAGCAAACAGG